AUUACUUUGGCAGAAUAGUGUAUUGAAUUUAGAAUUCAAAAAUGUAAGAGUUUACAAGUAAUA
rnacentral:tRNA from 1 species